AGUUCUCCAUCAUAACAGUGCAGUAACAAACUCAACAUAAACGUCAACCACCAACACAAUUACAGAAGAAGUACUAGUAAUCCUCAUUCACCCUGGAGUAUAAUUAUUCCAGUAUUGUGUGGUUUUUUGGUUGCUGCAGCAGUGGUGAUCAUCAUCAUCUGCCGUAAGACACGAGUUUUCAGUUUUUCCUGAAAACCUAGGGUCUGUUUAUCUUCAGAGAUUUUUACGACCUCCAGAGGAAACCCUCGAGACCUCCCCCCCACACCUACACUUCUUCAGAAGACCCUUUUAUGUUCAGACAUAUUCCUCCACAAGGGACUUAUGACUCCUCAGCAUAUCUCAAACAUCCUGCAGAUCACAACUCAGCCCCACUUUGCUCAUCCCUCGUGUUUUAUCUUAACAGCAUUUAUGACCCCUUUGGAGACACAGAGUCUAGUAUAUUUAGGAACAGACAUUGUAACCGACCUACUUUUGCAUGUAAAUCAUGUGUCCUCCACAUGGGAAUUUCUGUGUGGGCUUUCAAAACUCAAAUCAAAUUAGAUCAUUCAGAAUUAGGCCUAAUCUAGGCCUAUUUUAAGACACGACUGAGAAAGCAGAUUUCUGUUAAUCUAUAUUAAAAGACCAUUUAGUCUAGGACUAGGCUUAAUCUCUCUCUGGGAAACCACCCCACUAAGGUAAGAAGAUAAGAUAGAAGUUCAGUUGGAGUUUGAGGAGGCCGUCUACAGCAGGCCUAGAGACCUGUGAGAACAUCUGCAUGGUUUGGGCAUGCUUGCUAACUGUUCGCAUUUCGUAAGUUUGGGUUGAACGAAAGUUGAUUGUGUCUUAACUUUACCGUGGUACAGUGUUUAUUUGGUCAGAGAAGUUUGGGAGAAGUCUGAGAUGGCAGGGAAGGCCGUUUCACUAUGAAUCAGGCCCUAAAACAAGGAACUGUCCGAUGCUGGGGUAUUCUGGCUCCAGAACCCAUCCUGCAGAUGUCCUUCAGCUGGACUGGUACACGUCUUUUAGGUGCUAACAAUAAUCUGUUGGUUUUGUUACACUAUUUAAUUUGUUUUACUAUUUAAUAUAAUUAAUUAUAUAAUUAAUUAAUUAA